rnacentral:rRNA from 1 species
GUCCUUUUGAAUUUAAUUUAAGGUCUGGCCUGCCCAUUGAGUAGUUAAAAGGCCGCGGUAAUUUGACCGUGCUAAGGUAGCAUAAUCAUUAGUUUUUUAAUUGAAAGCUAGAAUGAAGGGUUUGAUGAAAAAAUUACUGUCUCUGAAUAAAUUUAAUUGAAUUUUAUUUUUUAGUAAAAAAGCUAAAAUUUGUUUUAAAGACGAGAAGACCCUAUAGAGUUUUAUUAAUAAUAGGAAAAAUUUAUUUUAGUAUUUUUAAAUUAGUUUAUUUUAUUUUAAUUUAGUUGGGGUGAUUGAAAAAUUUAAUAAACUUUUUUUAUUUAUUAACAUUAAUAUAUGAUUGAUUGAUCCAUUAUUUAUGAUUAUAAGAAAAAAUUACCUUAGGGAUAACAGCGUAAUUUUUUUUGAGAGUUCUAAUCGAUAAAAAAGAUUGCGACCUCGAUGUUGGAUUAAAAUUUAUUUUUGGUGAAGAAGCUAAAAUAUUAGGUCUGUUCGACCUUUAAAAUUUUACAUGA